GCCUGCUCCACAGAGUAGUGAGGAGGCUCCAGGAGAAGCCAUCAGAGCCUCGGGGCAGGGCCUGGCACUCACAAGCCCUCCAGGGGACAGCCCUUGUGACCCCCUCAGCACUUUCCCUGGAAGGCAACAGCUGGGCUGCUAGAGUCACCGAGGAAGUAUUUUUUUGGUUACAUUGCACAUUCUCCUUCUCUAUGAAAAUUGGUGCCACCAUUGCUAACUGAUGGACGGAUGAACCUGCCAUUCAAGAAAUAUUUUUUGAAUAAAUGAAUGAAUAACAGAAGACUGAAUGAACAGUGCUCAGAAAGCUACAUGGAAGCUUUAAGGAGGCGUUCACAUCCUCUUUCUGGUAAGUUGCAGGCUGCAUUAGAAAUAAGCAUGUGACUGAUACCAAACUGACCUAAAAAUAGCAAAUGGCAAAGUCACUGGCCUAGGAGGCCGGAGAAUCUUAACACCAGGUGGCCCAGGGCAUACCCAGAGCUUCUGGCAACACACAUCUGGAAAAAGUGGUAGCGGUUCCUUCUGGUCAAAUGACAAAAGCCUCAAUUUGUAUCGCAUAGUGGCUGAUCACAGUCAAUUUCUACCUAGAGGGCGCUACAUUGGACCUAGGUGUUCAGAGUUCCUUAAGUCAUGCUCUGAAUGAAUAGGCAACGAUUCCGAAGUAUGUGAAGCUAGCCUCACAGUUUGAAGUCCUUGAAAUCACACUUUCCAAACAGCUUCAAAUGAAGAACAAGCUCAUACAAACUCAAGGGUGCUUGAUCAAUGAGAGCUCCAGCAAGUGAAGACAUCACAGUCUGGGGCAGUGUGUGCCUGACCCCUUUACCUGUUGAACUAGCUGCUUUUGCCCUUGUUUCAAGGGAAAGGGGCUCUAGAGGAAUUGGGGAUUUAGUGCUCUUAAGGUUUGGGGUUUUGGGUCUCUGAGUUUGGCCAGGCCCUUGGGGACUGUGGACUGAGGUUGAGCCAUGUCUCAAACUCUGGAGAAGUCAAGAAAGGCCACAGAGUGGAACAUCCAGAAUCUACAUCCCAUUCAUGCCAGAGUCCUGUUCCAUCCACUCUCCGAGCAGAUGCUACCACCCUACGAAGGUCCAAGGGACUCCUGAAAAGCAGGCAUGAAUAGACCACAGAGUUAAACAGUGCAAGGGCACACUGUGGACCCACCGUCUUUGGCAAGAUCUUUUGCCUUCUCUCUGAAUCAAAGAAUCAAUGGGAUAGAGCAUGCCUCACAGGGCCACUAUAGGGAUCGAAUAAGAUGACGGAUACCGAAGUGCCUCAUUAACAAUAACGUGACAAAAAGAGUUACUACUAUUCUUGCUGCUAUUAUUGAUUCAAUGGAUAGAAGGGGGUUCCUUUCUGGGAGUCCCCGGGGACUUGGAAGCGUUUCUGGGGCUUCCAGGGGCAUCCCUUCUCUGCACUAUGAAAUUUUGACUGACAGCUCUUCCGUCUUCCUGAGCAACUCCAACAUCUCUUACCUACAGCUGCAGCUGGGGAAGGAGUGUGUGUGUGUGUGUGUGUGUGUGCACGCGCUGCUAGAACAUGGAAAUCACAUUUCCCUGUAUCAAUAUAUACUCCAGAUGAUGUCUGUCACUCACACCUACUCCAGACGUACCCUACCUCUAAGCUGUUGCUCCUGCUGUUCUCCACCUGGAACCUGCUCCCAUCUCUGCCCAGCUAAGUGAAUCAGAGUGCAGCUUCCACUCCUCCAUCACCAGGAAGUCCUCCUGGAUUUUUCCAGCCCAGUGAUGUCAAUGGCUGGCACACUGGGGAAGGAGGGAAGGAAACUGGGCUUAACCUACAGCCUAUCUGGGCUGUGCCAUGGCUGGUGACCAAUGAACCUUCCUGGAAGGAGUGUGCCUCUGUCGCCCCAACUGGCUUUUGUCUGUCUCCUUCCCCAACUGCGAGCUAUUGCCGGGCAGUACAUGGUUGGACCUCAGGGCCCAGCCCAGUGGGUGUGGGAUGACACAGGGCGGAUGGAUCAGGCCUCCGACUUGAGCCACCUCACAUUGGGGAGGGGGAAAUCCAGGUUGGCAAAGAAGCUCUCAGAACCCCAAUGUCAAAGGUGGGGACAGGGACCCAGCCCAACCCUUUAAUUUGGGGAGAUUGAGGCCCAGAGAGGAAAAGUGGCUUGCCCAAGGUCACACAGCCUUGUGGUUUUGGACUCAAGGUUGACAGUUAAGGUGGCUCUGGAUUCCAAUGACCCCAAAGUCCUUAGUCACUGUUCCUGCCUGCUGUCCUCUCCCCACCAGGCUUUGGCUACUCAUCUUGAACUGACCUGAGACUCUAGGGCAGACCUGUGGUCCCCAGCCAGGGAGGAUGGUGGCUUCCCGAGAAACAAGGGAAGUUGCUGAGUGACAGGGGCAUCCCUAGCCUGGUGGGCCAUCCAGACCACCCCAGGCCCUCUUGGUAUUGAAUGGAACAUUUGUUGAGUGGAAGUGAAUUAACUGUUCGA